rnacentral:rRNA from 1 species
UACGAAGGGGGCUAGCGUUGCUCGGAAUCACUGGGCGUAAAGCGCACGUAGGCGGAUUGUUAAGUCAGGGGUGAAAUCCUGGAGCUCAACUCCAGAACUGCCUUUGAUACUGGGACUCUCGAGUCCGGAGAGGUGAGUGGAACUGCGAGUGUAGAGGUGAAAUUCGUAGAUAUUCGCAAGAACACCAGUGGCGAAGGCGGACUCACUGGUCCGGUACUGACGCUGAGGUGCGAAAGCGUGGGGAGCAA